rnacentral:rRNA from 1 species
UCGAGAAUCUUCGGCAAUGGGCGAAAGCCUGACCGAGCGAUGCCGCGUGCGGGAUGAAGGCCCUCGGGUUGUAAACCGCUGUCAGUUGGGAGGAAGGGCUCGUGAAGAGCGAGUCUUGACCUAUCUUCAGAGGAAGUCCGGGCUAAGUUCGUGCCAGCAGCCGCGGUAACACGAACCGGACGAACGUUAUUCGGAAUCAUUGGGCUUAAAGGGUGCGUAGGCGGCGAUGUAGGUGGGGUGUGAAAUCCCUUGGCUCAACCAAGGAACUGCGCUCCAAACCACAUGGCUCGAGGGAGACAGAGGUAAGCGGAACUGAUGGUGGAGCGGUGAAAUGCGUUGAUAUCAUCAGGAACACCAGUGGCGUAAGCGGCUUACUGGGUCUCUUCUGACGCUGAGGCACGAAAGCUAGGGUAGCGAACGGGAUUAGAUACCCGUGUAGUCC